UACCACCACCCCCUCCAUCUUUUCAUCAUCCUACUGCCUACAUAGCUGCUCCAGGAUCUAUUGUUGACUCCUCGUGGUACCUAGAUACUAGUGCUUCCCACCACAUUACUCCUAAUUCAUCUUCGUUUAUCACAUCUUCAGAUUACUCAGGUCCUGACUAAGUUCAGAUUGGGAAUGGCUCAGGAAACAAACAAUUAUAAGUAGAUCUUCAACUGAGGCAGAAUUUCAAAGCCUGGCAGCCUGUGAAGCAGAGAUUACAUGGGUGAAGAAUUUGCUGUCUGAGUUGAAGAUUGCAUUGACUACUGUUCCAUCAAUAUUUUGUGACAAUUUAAGCACUGUUUUGCUCACUGUAAAUCUAGUCUUACAUGACAAAACGAAGCAUUUUUAGUUAGAUAUCCAAGUUGUUCGAGAAAAGAUCAACAACAAGUCAUUAUAAGUUGUACAUAUUCCUAGAAUUGAACAAGUUGCUGACAUUUUAACAAAACCUUUGUCAGCAACCAGUUAUGAGAGGCUCAAAGACAAGCUCAGAGUUGUUCCAAGGAGCAACUUGAGCUUGAGGGGGGGGGGGGUAUUGAGAGCACCAGCCCAAAAGGAUAAGUCCAACUAGUAAUAGUCAACUGCAGCCUAAUGAAUCAAUAGCAACCCAUUAGUUAAUACUCCUCAAGAAUAGUUAACAAAUGUGGAUGUACAAAAAGGAAUCAGUUUUGUUAGGGUUGGAUAUAUAAUUCCUUUUCACUCUGUAAAUAUUUUUUCAUUAUUCAAUAAAAAUUACUCCAUUAAUUCUUCAA